AAGGCGAUAUUUUAAUGUGAUUAAUGCAGGCGUCCUUCAGGCGUGCUUACAGCCACCCCAGCUGUUAGCAUGUAGCUGGUGGAGGUGAGUACACGUGAGCAGAAUUAUAAGUUGUUAAAAAGUCGAUUUUAAGUUGAGUUAAGUAGCUUUUGUGACUUGUUUUUGACAUGCGAGGGCUCUUGGGAGUGUUCUGUGAGAAGUUUAGCUGUAGCUUUAAAAAGAAAAGCAAGUUAUAUGUGUGAUAAUGCUUCGAUUAGCGUGUUGCUAAUAGAAGCUAACUUCUCAUGAGUGAGUGUUAAGUUACUUCGCUGUCUUAACCUGAACAGAGUGUGAUGCUGGAUAAUACACAUUAGCCACGUUUACAUGCGCAAAAUCUCCUCUAUCCGAUGAAAAUCUUGGCUGUUCAGAAAUCCCAAAUGUCUGUAAUGGACACUAAUUUAUGCACCAAGCAUUCCAUCCGAAUAAAUAGGUUGAGCAUGCGCAGAGAAUUGUAUUUCCUGGAAAAGAUGGUAAACAAAUGCCAUGAAACGAAAUGAAAAGUGUAAUGUGCAGAAUUUUUGAUCUGACUGGGUGUUCAGUCCAUUUACUUGUGCCCAUUUAAACGUGGCUAGUGAUGGAAAUUGUGUGUUCUGUUAUACCAGGUAGGCUCAUGUAUGAAUGUUACAGUAGAAAAAUGUAUUUGUGUUACAAGUGUUAUUAGCAACUUUUGGUCAUCCACUAUAAUCUGUUUUUUAUGUAAAAUGUGAAAAAAAACUUGAAUAGUAAUAAUAACCACUAUACAAUCACGCAGCACAGUAACAUGCAAGUUGGUGGAGACCCCUGUGUGAGGCUGGAUAACACAUAUUGAUGGAAAUUGUGUGUGUUCUGUUGGACCAGAUUGCUGCCAAUAAAAGCAAGUUGAAGAAUAAUCUGGUGCCAUAAUCUGCUUUUUGGUGAAUGUGGAGCACAAGAGUGAUGACACAAAUUGUCCAGACCACAUCUACUGAGCAGCGUGCCUGUCAAAUGACUCCCUAGCCUUCUUCCAGUUUCUGAACCCCAGAGAAAUAUAGGACUGUAAUGGAGCCAGGGGAAGAUUUUGAACCAGCUCUCCUGGAAGUGAAGAGUGCGGUUCGGCAGAGUUUGUGGCUCGAUUAGCUGUGCUGCUGGUUGGUAUGGGGAACCUGGACCCUCAGCUGUAUGGAUGUUUGCGUGUGGAGCGUUAUCCUGCUUCCCCACAUCAGUAGCUGAUGACUCGACCUAUAAUGUAAUUAUUCAGUUGUCAUUAGUUUCCAUACAUAGUUCUCAGAAAUGUUUUGAUUCUACACAGUGUUCUCCAAUUGGUCUACUAUUGCCAUUAUGUUAUAUACACAACUUACUUUUCUGUUUGUAUUUUGGUAGUAAUUGUAGUGUUGUAGAUCUAUCUGUUGUUUUAAUCAAAUCUGUUUUCCUUCCACAUUUUUGUACAAGUUGAACCAAUGCAAAGCCCUGCAGAUGGAUAAAACUUGCAUAUGUUUGCUUCCUGAACCCUCACCUGCUGAAUCUGAUCUGAGCUUGUUUCAACACUCUCCAUUUCUUCAUCCAGUGAUUGCACUUGCUGUAAGAGUAUACCAAAUUUGGUUUCAUAUUUACUGUAAGGUUAUAUGAUUUUCUGUUGAUGUGAAUUUCACCUCUCCAUUCUCAGCUGCCUGUUCCUGAAUGUGUUCAUUUUCCUCUGUCACAUGCUGUUCCUGAUAGAAAAUGGAUAUUCAAAUAAACAUUACAACUUUUGUGAUUUUA